rnacentral:lncRNA from 1 species
ACUCAUCAUUUGUGGCUCCCUACCAAUAAAAUAUAGGCUGUGAAAUGGUACAGCAAAACAAAAAUAAAAGAAGAAACAUCUUUGCUAGUUUAGCAGAAAAAUAGCUCUCCGCGAUGAACAUGCACUUUAUUGACAUUCCACAAGCUGUACUUCCUGAAUCCUGAUACUGUAUUUCAAGCAGUUGUUAGAAUUCCUUAUGAUAUGCAACUUGAAACAGGUUCUUGCUAAUGGUAAAAAACCGGGGUUAAACGUGCGGGGGUGGGGGGGGGUGCUGUUCUUAGUUUACCGGAGGGGUAUGAAUUAGCUCCGCUAAUUUCUUCGAGACAUUUAUAUAUAUAGGCAGCAACAAAGAUCAUAUACAUUAUGUUAGUGGCGGAGUCAGACUUUUGGUUAAGGGUGUUCGUAUUUUUUCUUGGGCAAAGAACUAUUUAAAAAACAAAGAAAAUAAAGCACAGCUGCACCUGCCAAGGUUCAAACCCGGGUUAUUGAUGCGUAAAUGCACACUCUUGACCACUAGACUAUGCUUCUCUAGCUUGUCAAGGGUGUGCAACAUCUAUAUAACCAUAAAUAUCUAUAUUUAACCUAUAUACUCGAAAAAAAUUUCCGAUGAAGGUGUUCAUCUGACCACCCUUCGUUGGCUGUGGCUCCGCCACUGCAUUAUGUGGAGAGACAACUUUUAUGGUAUCUCUCUUGUUCCAUCUUUCUAUCAACAGAAGAUGAAACAGUAGUUGGUACAUAAUCUUCUUCCUCAAUAAUGGUGUCCAAACUUCUUCUUGGUGGACCCUUUACCAUAGAGACAAGCCUUGAUGGAGCAACUUCUGUUGAGUACCUCAUUUUAGGAGCCUUAGCCAUUGUUGUGUUGGAACUUCCUGUCGAAAAACUAGAGAGAAACAUAAAGACUGUUCAGGUUGAAGCUGAGAAGAAAAAUCCCAAAUGUGGUUUAUUUAUACCUUGGUGGACAGAGUUAGGGUUAGGUAUCUCGUGGCAUUAGUCGAGGUGCAGAAAGCUGAUGCAGACAUCACGGUUAUCAAGAAUAACGUGUCAUGUUCAAUGUGCUGUUGCUUGGAUCUAAAAUCUAAAUCAUCAACUUGUACAGCCGCCCCACAUUUGUGUAUAAAAGUGCAGGAAGAUGUCAACUUCAGUAUGGGAGUAGACAAAUAAUUGGAAGUUCUUGAAUGUCUAUUAUAGAAGGGGUCCAAAAAUCUUUGAAAGGAUUUUCUCACAGCACCCCUCCAAACUUGGUCAAUUUCCC